rnacentral:rRNA from 1 species
UACAGAGGUCUCAAGCGUUGUUCGGAAUCACUGGGCGUAAAGCGUGCGUAGGCUGUUUCGUAAGUCGUGUGUGAAAGGCGCGGGCUCAACCCGCGGACGGCACAUGAUACUGCGAGACUAGAGUAAUGGAGGGGGAACCGGAAUUCUCGGUGUAGCAGUGAAAUGCUUAGAUAUAACUUAGAACCCCGAUAGCGAAGGCAGCUUACCGGCGCGCAACUGACGCUCAUGCACGAAAGCGUGGGUAUCGAACAGG